AAUGGGCGAAAGCCUGACCCAGCAACGCCGCGUGAAGGAAGAAGGCUUUCGGGUUGUAAACUUCUUUGACAGGGGAAGAGUAGAAGACGGUACCCUGAAAACAAGCCACGGCUAACUACGUGCCAGCAGCCGCGGUAAUACGUAGGUGGCAAGCGUUGUCCGGAUUUACUGGGUGUAAAGGGCGUGCAGCCGGGAAGGCAAGUCAGAUGUGAAAUCCGUGGGCUUAACCCACGAACUGCAUUUGAAACUGCUUUUCUUGAGUAUCGGAGAGGUAAUCGGAAUUCCUAGUGUAGCGGUGAAAUGCGUAGAUAUUAGGAAGAACACCAGUGGCGAAGGCGGAUUACUGGACGACAACUGACGGUGAGGCGCGAAAGCGUGGGGAGCAAA
rnacentral:rRNA from 1 species